GAUGAACGCUGGCGGCGUGCCUAAUACAUGCAAGUCGAGCGAACAGACGAGGAGCUUGCUCCUCUGACGUUAGCGGCGGACGGGUGAGUAACACGUGGAUAACCUACCUAUAAGACUGGGAUAACUUCGGGAAACCGGAGCUAAUACCGGAUAAUAUAUUGAACCGCAUGGUUCAAUAGUGAAAGACGGUUUUGCUGUCACUUAUAGAUGGAUCCGCGCCGCAUUAGCUAGUUGGUAAGGUAACGGCUUACCAAGGCAACGAUGCGUAGCCGACCUGAGCGGCGGAGCGGACAAACUGGAACUGAGCCACGGUGCGGGCACAGCCGGGAGAGAGCAGUAGGGAGUGUGAUGAAAGGGGCGAAAGGUUUAAGGAGUAAUGGUGGGUGAGAGAUGAAGGUUGUAGGAUCUUAUAAAUCUUGUAUUAGGGAAUACAAAAAGUGUAAGGAACAAUGCACGCCUUGCCGGUACCAAAUACGAAAAACACCGCUAACCCGAUG
rnacentral:rRNA from 1 species